rnacentral:rRNA from 1 species
GACGAACGCUGGCGGCGUGCCUAAUACAUGCCAGUCGAACGCUUCUUUCCUCCCGAGUGCUUGCACUCAAUUGGAAAGAGGAGUGGCGGACGGGUGAGUAACACGUGGGUAACCUACCCAUCAGAGGGGGAUAACACUUGGAAACAGGUGCUAAUACCGCAUAACAGUUUAUGCCGCAUGGCAUAAGAGUGAAAGGCGCUUUCGGGUGUCGCUGAUGGAUGGACCCGCGGUGCAUUAGCUAGUUGGUGAGGUAACGGCUCACCAAGGCCACGAUGCAUAGCCGACCUGAGAGGGUGAUCGGCCACACUGGGACUGAGACACGGCCCAGACUCCUACGGGAGGCAGCAGUAGGGAAUCUUCGGCAAUGGACGAAAGUCUGACCGAGCAACGCCGCGUGAGUGAAGAAGGUUUUCGGAUCGUAAAACUCUGUUGUUAGAGAAGAACAAGGACGUUAGUAACUGAACGUCCCCUGACGGUAUCUAACCAGAAAGCCACGGCUAACUACGUG